rnacentral:lncRNA from 1 species
GAAAUUAUACAACAAUAGGUGAAAACCAUUCAAACCAAGUGUUAGUAUUAAUUAGUAAGAUAAUUGAAAUGGGAGCGUGAUAUGGCAGUGUAUGACUAAUCCCAACAUUAUAGUAAUGAUAUGCCAACUACUUAAUAAUUAGUUUCUCCCCUCCUAGCUCCAUAUUCAAAACAUAGACCACAAAAUAUCCCUAAGAUUUGCAAGAAUAACUUUUGAGCAUUCCUUUUUAGUGCUGUGUCUUUUUCCUUGUCAUUAACAAUUAUUAUCAAAAUAGCAAUUUUUAAAAAUGGACAAGCAGACUUCUCUCGGGAAAGAUAUACGCGCAAAACAAACCCAUGACCACUUCGUCAACUAAAUCUAGAUACAAACAAUACCAACAAAGCAAAGGACGACGAUAAGCAUUAUACAAAGUGAAAGAUUAAAUUGAUCACAUAGUUACUCCAACAAAUCCUAACAGAACAUAUAUGGAUGCAAGCAUACUAAAUAUUGAAAAAGAACCAACUUGAUGACAUCGUUUUCCGAAAUUUGAAAACCGAAACAGUGACAACGAGAAUCGUGAGAUCCAGAACAACAAGAAUAUCAUCUCAACGCAUUAUCCACAAUUUCAUCACAACAACCUAUGGCUUUCGAAGCCGUCUACAGCGAUCAAUCCCACAUAAUACUACGACUACUUAUGAAAAUCGAUGUUAACGCCAAGAAGGAGAAGAGCGAACGGGGCGAUGAGCCUAUGACGAUGAAGUUUUCACCACCGAAUUUUAACUCAAUUUCACCGGAAUUUUGGUUGCGUGAGUCUAGAGACGCGCCUCCAUAACACCCAAUUUUUUUCCAAAUAAAUCCUCUCCCUUUCUCUCUACAUACAUGGGUAUUUAUAGAAGAUUUGAGACUGAUUUUGGUUGCUGCUAUUGUUGACUGUUAUUGCCUGGUUGUUGGUGGGGGGUCGCUGUGUCUUCGUCGGAUCGUUGGUCUCCGGGUUUGGGUUAUUAAUGUUGUGUUGUUGUAGGUUGCGGUUAUUGUUGUUAACGUUGUUUGUUGGAAUCCCGUUGUUUGUUGACGUUUUGUUGUUGCUGUUGAUAAUUGUUGUUGUACGUUGUUAAGGGGUAAGGGGAAAGUGAAGAUUUGAGCCAGGUAUGGUUCGGAGUUAUGGGCUGGUUGUUAAGCCAAAAAAAGGAGAAAUGGGAUUAUUAUUGUUGUUGUUCUUGGAGUAAGCCUGUCAAGUGGGCCGGGCUGAUCCGGCCUACCUGGUCCUACCUGGCAUAUUUAAAGGAUCCAGUCCGAUAAGUUCUAGGAAUUUAGGAUUUCGGGUUUCGAGCUUGUUAUUUUAAUUUAGGCUAGAUUAAUUCGACCCGAUGUAGGACCGUUGAUUUACCAGCC